rnacentral:tRNA from 1 species
GCCGGUGUAGCUCAGCGGUAGAGCAGGGGACUCAUAAGCCCUUGGUCGCAGGUUCGAUUCCCGCCACCGGCACCU